rnacentral:rRNA from 1 species
CAUUAUUGAAAUAAAUCUGAACAGGYUGUUGCUGGUCUUUGACAAGUGCACGCUUGUUUUCUUUAUUUUUCCAACUGUGCACAUAUUGUAGAUCUGGAGUAUUUCUUAUUGCUUCAAAUAGAUUGAGGAGUUGCUGCAAAAGUCAGCUUCACCUUGUAUUUUCUAGGUCUAUGUUCACACAUUUUCACAAUGUCAUAGAAUGUAUUGAGUAAUGGAAAUAACAAAUAUACAACUUUCAGCAACGGAUCUCUUGGCUCUCGCAUCGAUGAAGAACGCAGCGAAAUGCGAUAAGUAAUGUGAAUUGCAGAAUUCAGUGAAUCAUCGAAUCUUUGAACGCAUCUUGCGCUCCUUGGUAUUCCGAGGAGCAUGCCUGUUUGAGUGUCAUCAAGUUCUCAACCACCAUGUUUUUGUGUGUGGCUUGGAUUUGGGGGUAUCUGUUGUGCAGGCUUUAUCAAGUCAGCUCCCCUGAAAAGCAUUAGUGGUAUCUGAGCAAAAACUACUAUAGGUGUGAUAACUAUCUAUGCCUUGGUAUAUAAUGCAUGAACAGACUACACUGCUUGCAAACUUUGAAAUUGACCAAUUUGACCUCAAAUCAGGUAGGACUACCCGCUGAACUUAAGCAUAUCAAUAAGCGGAGGAAAAGAAACUAACAAGGAUUCCCCUAGUAACUGCGAGUGAAGCGGGAAAAGCUCAAAUUUGAAAUCUGGCGGUUUUUGACCGUCCGAGUUGUAAUCUAGAGAAGUGUUACCUGUGCAGGACCAUGUACAAGUCUCCUGGAAUGGAGCGUCAUAGAGGGUGAGAAUCCCGUCUUUGACAUGGACUACCUGUGCAUUAUGGUGUGCUCUCGAAGAGUCGAGUUGUUUGGGAAUGCAGCUCAAAAUGGGUGGUAAAUGCCAUCUAAAGCUAAAUAUUGGCGAGAGACCGAUAGCGAACAAGUACCGUGAGGGAAAGAUGAAAAGAACUUUGGAAAGAGAGU